GUGAACGCUGGCGGUAGGCCUAACACAUGCCAGUCGAACGGCAGCACAGUAAGAGCUUGCUCUUACGGGUGGCGAGUGGCGGACGGGUGAGGAAUACAUCGGAAUCUACUUUUUCGUGGGGGAUAACGUAGGGAAACUUACGCUAAUACCGCAUACGACCUACGGGUGAAAGCAGGGGAUCUUCGGACCUUGCGCGAUUGAAUGAGCCGAUGUCGGAUUAGCUAGUUGGCGGGGUAAAGGCCCACCAAGGCGACGAUCCGUAGCUGGUCUGGGAGGAUGAUCAGCCACACUGGAACUGAGACACGGUCCAGACUCCUACGGGAGGCAGCAGUGGGGAAUAUUGGACAAUGGGCGCAAGCCUGAUCCAGCCAUACCGCGUGGGUGAAGAAGGCCUUCGGGUUGUAAAGCCCUUUUGUUGGGAAAGAAAAGCAGCAGGUUAAUACCCCGCUGUUCUGACGGUACCCAAAGAAUAAGCACCGGCUAACUUCGUG
rnacentral:rRNA from 1 species